rnacentral:rRNA from 1 species
GAUGAACGCUGGCGGCGCGCCUAACACAUGCAAGUCGAACGGCACCCCACCUCGGUGGGAAGCGAGUGGCGAACGGCUGAGUAACACGUGGAGAACCCGCCCCCUCCUCCGGGAUAGCCUCGGGAAACCGUGGGUAAUACCGGAUGACGCCCGGACGACGCAUGUCGCCCGGGCCAAAGCCCAGACGGGAGGGGAUGGCUCCGCGGCCCAUCAGGUAGACGGCGGGGUGAAGGCCCACCGUGCCGACGACGGGUAGCCGGGUUGAGAGACCGACCGGCCAGAUUGGGACUGAGACACGGCCCAGACUCCUACGGGAGGCAGCAGUGGGGAAUCUUGCGCAAUGGGGGGAACCCUGACGCAGCGACGCCGCGUGCGGGACGAAGGCCCUAGGGUCGUAAACCGCUUUCAGCAGGGAUGAGACAAGACGGUACCUGC